GAUGAAACGCUAGCUACAGGCUUCACACACGCAAGUCCGAGGGGGCAGCAUUUUCAGUUUCGCUUCGCAAACCGGAGAACGGCGAACCGGCGCACGGGCGAGUAACACGUAUCCAACUCUCGCCGAAUAACUCGGGGAUAGCCUUUUCGAAAAGAAGGAAUAAUACCCGACGGUAUAAUCAGACCGCAUGGUCUUCGUUAUUAAAGAAUUUCGGUUAUCGAUGGGGAUGCGUUCCAUUUAGGCAGUUGGUGAGGUAACGGCUCACCAAACCUUCGAUGGAUAGGGGUUUCUGAGAGGAAGGUCCCCCACAUUGGAACUGAGACACGGUCCAAACUCCUACGGGAGGCAGCAGUGAGGAAUAUUGGUCAAUGGGCGCAGGCCUGAACCAGCCAAGUAGCGUGAAGGAUGACUGCCCUAUGGGUUGUAAACUUCUUUUAUAUGGGAAUAAAGUUUUCCACGUGUGGAAUUUUGUAUGUACCAUAUGAAUAAGGAUUCGGCUAACUCCGUGCCAGCAGCCGCGGUAAUACGGAGGAUUCCGAGCGUUAUCCGGAUUUAUUGGGUUUAAAGGGAGCGUAGGUGGACAGUUAAGUCAGUUGUGAAAGUUUGCGGCUCAACCGUAAAAUUGCAGUUGAUACUGGCUGUCUUGAGUACAGUAGAGGUGGGCGGAAUUCGUGGUGUAGCGGUGAAAUGCUUAGAUAUCACGAAGAACUCCGAUUGCGAAGGCAGCUCACUGGACUGCAACUGACACUGAUGCUCGAAAGUGUGGGUAUCAAACAGGAUUAGAUACCCUGGUAGUCCACACAGUAAACGAUGAAUACUCGCUGUUUGCGAUAUACAGUAAGCGGCCAAGCGAAAGCAUUAAGUAUUCCACCUGGGGAGUACGCCGGCAACGGUGAAACUCAAAGGAAUUGACGGGGGCCCGCACAAGCGGAGGAACAUGUGGUUUAAUUCGAUGAUACGCGAGGAACCUUACCCGGGCUUAAAUUGCAUUUGAAUAUAUUGGAAACAGUAUAGCCGUAAGGCAAAUGUGAAGGUGCUGCAUGGUUGUCGUCAGCUCGUGCCGUGAGGUGUCGGCUUAAGUGCCAUAACGAGCGCAACCCUUAUCUUUAGUUACUAACAGGUCAUGCUGAGGACUCUAGAGAGACUGCCGUCGUAAGAUGUGAGGAAGGUGGGGAUGACGUCAAAUCAGCACGGCCCUUACGUCCGGGGCUACACACGUGUUACAAUGGGGGGUACAGAAGGCAGCUACCUGGUGACAGGAUGCUAAUCCCAAAAGCCUCUCUCAGUUCGGAUCGAAGUCUGCAACCGGACUUCGGGAAGCUGGAUUCGCUAGUAAUCGGGCAUCAGCCAUGGCGCGGUGAAUACGUUCCCGGGCCU
rnacentral:rRNA from 1 species